rnacentral:tRNA from 1 species
GCCCUUGUAGUUCAAUGGAUAGAACGCUAACUUGCGGAGUUAGUAAUAGAGGUUCGAAUCCUCUUGAGGGCA